ensembl:lncRNA
UUUUUUUUUUUUAAUAAAAAGCUGUUCAUACUACUGGCCAAGUAGCCCAGUUUUCUGUAAGCAGUUUCAGCCCUGGUUUUACAGGUGCCUGCUAAAACUACCCGAAUGGCUGUAUGAUCUUCGAAAAGCCACUCAGUGUCCCCUGACACUGAUUUCACACCUAUUAAACAAAGUGGACAAAUCUGGAUUAUCUACAGACCUUCUAGUCCAACAAAGCAUGAGCUGGCCUCGUUCUUUGCCACAAGGCAAGACAGGCUUUUGUCCUAGGCUUUGUGAUUAGGCAGAGUCUGCCUGUACUGGUGGGUCACCUAUAAACAGACUGCCAUUGAAUUAAUCUAACUAAACCUGAUCUGAAGAAAGAAAAUAGACACCUCAUAGGACUCUCAUGCUUUUAAUGACAUAGCACACACUCAGGAAAUAAUUUCUCACCUCUCUCUGUGUAGGGCUGCAAAAAAUUAAUUCUAGAGUUUCCUGCUCUAGAUUUCAUAAUCUGUAAGGGUCAGAUGAAAAUCCUGAUCAAACAUGGAAGAUUGCAUAUUCAAAAGAGAUGGCCCAAGACCCAAGGGAAGGGAAGAAAAGCCAGCCGCCAGACAGUCCUCACUGCCUUCCCCUCCCACGAAACUGAAAUGCAUUUUUAGAUAAACUCCAACCUUUGUGUCUCUAUCUGCAACUUCUACUUUCGACUUUGAAGAGGGUGUGACUGAAUUUUGACUGUUUUUUUAUCUGGCAGAUAUCUUUUUUUUUUUUUUUAAUUUCAUGUAUGUGAGUACACUCUGUUGCUGUCUUCAGACACACCAGAAGAGGGCAUCGGAUCCCAUUGCAGAUGGUUGUGAGCCACCGUGUGGUUGCUGGGAAUUGAACUCAGGACCUCUGGGAGAGCAGUCAGUGCUCUUAACCGCUGAGCCAUCUCUCCAGCCCUUGACUGUUUUUUUAAUCAUGGAAUGGAUUAGGGUGUUAUCAGUGUAUGAAGAUUGUAUAAAAACAGAGACAAACCUAAGGCCUUCUCUGGACCCAAAUCCAUAUCACUUUCAGGUUUGCAUUUUCCCAAGUGAUUUUUUUUUUGUGUGAUUUUUUUUUUUUAAAUUAGACAGGGCAGUACCAACAAAGCGAUUUGUUUUGUUUGCUUGGUUGGUUUUUUUCAACUCAGGGUUUCUCUGAGUAGUCCAGGCUGUCCUUGAAUUCAGGGAUUUGCCUGCCUCUGCUUUCUGAGCACUUGGAUUAAAUAUGUGUACCACCACCUCACAGUUCUAGGUGAUUUUUUUUAAGAUGACAGUUUGUAGCAUUAAAGCAUAUCAUGUUGGGCUACAGAGAUGGCUCAGCAGCUAUGAGCUCUUGUACUUCCAGAGGGUUGGAAUUUGGGUUUCCAGCAAGCAUAGUGGAUGGCUGACAACCACCGGUAACUCCAGUUCCAGGAGAUCUGAUGCCUCCUUCUGGUCUCUUUGGGAACAUCCCAUGGCAUGCAUAUAUAUGUACAUAUAUAUACACAUAUAUACAUAUAUACACAUAUAUGUAUAUACACACACAUAUAUACAUAUAUGCACAUAUAUAUGUAUAUAUGUGUAUAUGUAUAUAUGUAUACAUAUACAUGUAUAUAUGUAUACAUAUAUAUACACACACACAUACACACAAAACCAACAUACAUAAAAACUUAAUUACCUACCUAUAUGUAAUAUAGAUAUAGAUCUAUUAUCUAUAUAUAAUAGACAUCUAUAAUGUCUAUUAUAGAGACAUUGCUGAGUGGUUAAGAGCACUUACGGGGUUGGGAAUUUAGCUCAGUGGUAGAGCGCUUACCUAGGUUCGGUCCCCAGCUCCGAAAAAAAGAACCAAAAAAAAAAAAAGAGCACUUACUACUCUUUUAGAGUAACUGAGUUCAGUAUACAGCACCCAUGAUGUCAGGUAACACAUAAUUGCCUGUAACUCCAGCUCCGGAGGGUGACACCAUCUUCUGGUCCCCUCAGAUACCUACACAUGGCACACACAUACAUAAUUUAAAAAAAACCAAGCAACCAGACCUUUAGAAUAUAUCCUGUUAACUGUUCCAGUUAAAAAGCUAUAGAAAUCUGAUUCUGUCGUAGAUGUUCACACACCUAUACAGUGGUGGUUGCCCGGUAGUGGAGUCCCCAGUGUUUUCAUUUUGUCCUAUUUUGCUUAAAUAAUUAUGCGCACAUACACAGAAGCAUAUGUUACUUGUGCGUCCAGUUAAAAACAAGAACCAAAAGACUAAACAGACUUGGUUAUCAGCAGUUUUAAUAUGCUUGUUUCCCGUAACCCCUUGUUAAACAGUGGAACCAGGGAUCUAUAACGAAGUCAUUCCAUUAAGUGCCAAGGAUCAAAAGCAAAGUUUCCAAAGAAACCAAAAUAGAAAACAUUAAGGCUCGGACUGCACCGUCGGCACGAAAUCACACAAGACAAAAUGACGUAUCAGUUAAAAAUUUGCAUGUGAUUCCCAGCUCAGCCUGGACAAAAUGACCAUCUCUUAUUAGGUAGACUAGAAAAAAAGCAUGACACCUACCUCUUAUCUGAUUAGACUGCCCCAAAGAUUAAAUGCCACUUAAAAAAAAAAAAGCCUAGUGGAUUGCUUCACUUGUACUCAAUAAAUCCUAUUACUGCAACUAUUUUAAGUCUGCGAUUUGUGUAAAAGGCCUAGGAUAAUAAGUCGAGGAAUCUAAGACAGGCCAGCAAUUCCUAAGCUAUUACCACCGACGACAUUCCAGUCAACCGCCAGGGUCAGUGGCGGACAUUGAGGGUUCCAGGCUUCUGUCCAGGUCCUUCAAUCCCCCAAGCCAGGCGAGGCGGAAAGGAGGUCCGUGUUGGACUUGCUCCGCCAUGGGGGCUUUGCCGGAAGUCCGCCCUGGGAAGCCAACUGAACAGUCAGGAGGUGGUCCGCUCAGGUCCUUCGGAGACCAGAGUUGCAUUUUCCCGGAAAAUGAUCUCAAGGACC